CUGCAUAUAUACAGUACCCGUCAGCAAUCAAUAAUAAAGUCGGCGCUGGGCUCAGCGCUCCUCCUCUUUCUUUCCCCAAUUCAUCCAGCUCCCCGGUGCCAAUUCGGCAGCUGCCUAGCUGUGAUACACUGUUGCCUUUUCCUUUCCCCGGCGGCGGGAGGCGCGGCGAUGGAGCGGGCGGAGGCGGAGGUGGGGAUGGCCGGCAACGGCGACGCCGUCCACACGCCCCACUCGGCGCCGCCGACGGCGCCGUCGGCGCGGGUGUCGAUUUGGGAGUCGGUGCGCGCGUGCGGGGUGUGGGGCCGGGACGUCGACAAGGCCGAGCUGCGGCGCCGCGUCGUCAUGCCGCUCUACGCGCGCCGCGCCGUGGCCGCCGCCGUCGCCGAGAAGGACGAGGCCGCCGGCGUGGCGGCCGCCGCGGCGGCGAGGGACGAGGGAGGGGAAGACGGGGAGGAAGGAUUGGAGGUGGUGACGCCGAUGGUCGUGUUCGUCAACUCCAAGAGCGGCGGGCGCCACGGGCCCGAGCUCAAGGUGCGCCUGCACGAGCUCAUCAGCAAGGAGCAGGUCUUCGAUCUUUCUUCUGUGAAGCCUUCUGAUUUUGUUCGCUAUGGUUUGGGUUGUUUGGAGAGGUUGGCUGAUCAAGGUGAUAACUGUGCAAAGGACAUCCGUGCAAAUUUGAGGAUUAUGGUUGCUGGAGGUGAUGGCACUGUUGGUUGGGUACUUGGAUGUCUCCAAGAACUUAAUAAGUUGAAAAGGGAACCAGUUCCCCCCACAGGAAUCAUUCCACUUGGGACAGGAAACGACCUUGCUAGAUCAUUUGGAUGGGGUGGCUCUUUUCCCUUUGGCUGGCGUUCAGCUGUAAAGCGAUAUCUCAACAAGGCAGUGUCUGCUUCGGUCGUCCAUCUUGACAGUUGGCAGGCUGUGAUUAGGAUGCCAGAGGGAGAAAUAACAGAGUUGCCACAUGCACUUAAGAAAGCGGAACCUGCCGAUCAGCUGGAGUUCAGCAAGGCAAGUGGCAGUGAGUUAACAGAAAAAGCUUCUUGCUAUAAAGGAGUAUUCUACAACUACCUUAGCAUUGGGAUGGAUGCCCAAGUUGCAUAUGGCUUCCACCAUCUACGAGAUGAAAAGCCAUAUCUUGCUCAAGGACCAGUUGCAAAUAAGUUGAUUUAUGCUGGAUAUAGCUGCACGCAGGGAUGGUUCUGUACUCCUUGUACAGCAAGUCCUCAGCUAAGGGGACUUCGGAACAUUUUGCGGCUUUACAUUAAAAGGGCAAAUUGUUCUGAAUGGGAGCAAAUUCAAAUGCCUUCAAGUGUUAGAUCACUAGUGGUCUUAAAUCUGUACAACUACGGCAGUGGAAGGCAUCCAUGGGGUGAUCUUAAACCAGAUUAUCUUGAAAAGAAAGGUUUUGUUGAAGCUCAUUCAGAUGACGGUUUGAUUGAAAUAUUUGGUCUGAAAGAAGGUUGGCAUGCUUCAUUCGUUAUGGCUGAGCUUAUCAAAGCAAAGCACAUUGCUCAGGCUGCAGCUAUCAAGUUUGAAAUGAGGGGAGGCGAGUGGGAUCGAGCAUAUGUUCAAAUGGAUGGCGAGCCAUGGAAACAACCACUCAUCCAGGACCAGUCGACAAUUCUGGAAAUAAACAAGGUUCCCUAUCACUCCCGGAUGAUAAACGGGGAUUCAUGAGAUCUCCCUAUGUCAAUCAGGUAUUGAUUCCGGAAAGUCCAUUUUCUGGUUGUCCGCCGACAUCAGUUGCAUCCUGAUAGCUCCCUAACCAUCCAAUUACCAUGCCAUCUCAGGGUUACACUCUAGAUCGGUAGGCUAUGUACAGUUUAGGAGCAGCUGGAGCUAGAAUCCAUAGAGAUGGCUCAGCUGCAGCGAAGAUGAUGCAAUGUUUAUUGGCCUUUACCAUGCCAUGGUCGAGUCAUGGCAGGAGCACAAUGCGCCACCAUGUACUGUUGUAUCAUAUAUAAAUUAUGUUGUAUCCUAGUUCCUUUCCGAGGGAAAACAAUUUGAACUUGAUUUGUAUUGUUUUCUUGUCUCUGGUAAACAACCAGAUGAAAACCACCAUGUAAGAUUAAGUUAUUAUGCUUUGUGUUCAAUACAACAAUUCUUUUCCCUCCGAGACGAUCCUUUGUCUGAUGUCAAUCCUUUUGCUUAGAGUUGUCUAGAUAUAUGGAUAUAUCUAGUCAUGUUUUAGACUUUUAGUGUUAUGUAUCUAGAUAAAUCUAAGACAAGAAUUUUGAGACGGAUGUAAUACAAUCCGUUUGCUUUUAG
rnacentral:rRNA from 1 species